rnacentral:rRNA from 1 species
UACAGAGGGUGCGAGCGUUAAUCGGAAUUACUGGGCGUAAAGCGUGCGUAGACGGUUGCAUAAGUCGGAUGUGAAAUCCCCGGGCUCAACCUGGGAAUUGCAUUCGAGACUGUGUAGCUGGGGUGCGGAAGAGGGAAGCGGAAUUUCCGGUGUAGCGGUGAAAUGCGUAGAUAUCGGAAGGAACAUCAGUGGCGAAGGCGGCCAUCUGGAACAACACUGACGCUGAAGCACGAAAGCGUGGGGAGCAAACAGG